rnacentral:rRNA from 1 species
GAUGAACGCUGGCGGCGUGCCUAAUACAUGCAAGUCGAGCGAACAGACGAGGAGCUUGCUCCUCUGACGUUAGCGGCGGACGGGUGAGUAACACGUGGAUAACCUACCUAUAAGACUGGGAUAACUUCGGGAAACCGGAGCUAAUACCGGAUAAUAUAUUGAACCGCAUGGUUCAAUAGUGAAAGACGGUUUUGCUGUCACUUAUAGAUGGAUCCGCGCCGCAUUAGCUAGUUGGUAAGGUAACGGCUUACCAAGGCAACGAUGCGUAGCCGACCUGAGAGGGUGAUCGGCCACACUGGAACUGAGACACGGUCCAGACUCCUACGGGAGGCAGCAGUAGGGAAUCUUCCGCAAAGGGCGAAAGCUUGACGGAGCAACGCCGCGUGAGUGAUGAAGGUCUUCGGAUCGUAAAACUCUGUUAUUAGGGAAGAACAAAUGUAUAAGUAACUAUGCACGUCUUGACGGUACCUAAUCAGAAAGCCACGGCUAACUACGUG